rnacentral:lncRNA from 1 species
GUUGGUGUAGUUACAUCAUGGCCUUCAAAUUGUCAUUUGCAUCCUUGUGAACCAAUUCACCAUUUGGAAAUGGAAUGAAAUACAAAGGCUUGUAAGGAUUCACACCAUACACCACUUACGUAGGCUUAUAAGGACCUUCAGCUUUUGGCAUCAACUUUUGUUUGGAAAACGUUCUUUCCUCAUAUGCACCAACACCAAAUCACCAUCUUGAAAGACACGAGGUUUCCUAUACAUGUUGGAAUUCUGUUUGUACACGUCAAUCACGGCUUCAAUCUUCACACUAGCUUGUUGGUGUAGUUUCGUCAUGGCCUUCAACUUGUCAUUAGCAUCCUUGUGAACCAAUUCAUCGUUUGGAAAUGGAAUAAUAUACAAAGGCUCGUAAGGAUUCACACCAUACACCACUUACAAAGGCUUGUAAGGACCUUCAGCUCUUGGCAUCAACUCUUGUUCAAAGUGAACAAAGGUUAGUUUGAUUAAAAUUUCAUCUAUCUCUUUUUUCCAUGCAUAAUUGGCUUAUAUGAAGCCUUUAUAACAAAGUUGGUGGUUACUAGCCACCCAACCAACUACUCAGUAAAACUAAUAAUGGAAAUUAAAGAAACUCAUGAAACCACACAAAAAAACGUCUGACACACUGAUGAAUGAAAAAAGUGUCCAUGCUCCAUUAAGGAGCAAAAAGAAGCAUUAAAGUGUAAUCCAAAUCCACCAAAGAGUAUCAACAAUGGCUAGAAGGCUUGACGAAGCAAAAAGUAACAGUUUUGAGCACUUAUUAAGCCUUUAAAAUGUUGCCCUAGCCUUCAUGCGACCCUAAUUUAAUACGUAGGUUACCAUGCACAACCCAACCAUUGAGUACAAACCACCUUCUGGCCUACUAGUAAUCACUAAUCCAUCACAUUUUUCGGCUUUUCAUGAGCCAUGCAUGGAUCCUCCCCUCCCUCUUUGAAAGGAAAUGACCUUAAUUCAUCAAGGCCAUCCUCAACAAGAUACGGUGAAAGGUCUCCCACAUUAAAGGUAGCAUGCACUCCAUGGUCUCGUCCCAGAUCAACCUUAUAAGUAUUAUCAUUGACAUGUGUCACCACUUUGUAAGGACCUUCAGCUCUUGGCAUCAACUUUUGUUCUUCCUUUUGUUAGCAAAACGUUCUUUCCUCAUAUGCGCCUAAACCACGUCACCAUCUUGUAAGACACGUGGUUUCCUAUGCAUGUUGGAAUUCUGUUUGUACACGUCAUACACAGCUUCAAUCUUCACACAAACUUGUUGGUGUAGUUACAUCAUGGCCUUCAAAUUGUCAUUUGCAUCCUUGUGAACCAAUUCACCAUUUGGAAAUGGAAUGAAAUACAAAGGCUUGUAAGGAUUCACACCAUACACCACUUACGUAGGCUUAUAAGGACCUUCAGCUUUUGGCAUCAACUUUUGUUUGGAAAACGUUCUUUCCUCAUAUGCACCAACACCAAAUCACCAUCUUGAAAGACACGAGGUUUCCUAUACAUGUUGGAAUUCUGUUUGUACACGUCAAUCACGGCUUCAAUCUUCACACUAGCUUGUUGGUGUAGUUUCGUCAUGGCCUUCAACUUGUCAUUAGCAUCCUUGUGAACCAAUUCAUCG